rnacentral:rRNA from 1 species
CCUACUACAAAAUUGUAAGGUGAAGCCUGCCCAAUGACUGCCAAUAACCUAACUAAAAUCAGUCCAAUGGCCGCGGUAACUCUGACCGUGAUAAAGUAGCAUAAUCACUUGUCGCUUAAUUGGCGACUAGAAUGAAUGGCUAAACGAAUCCCCCUCUGUCUCUGAAAGAACUCUGGCAAAUUUGAAACGACAGUGAAGAUGCUGUCAAAUAAUUGUAAGACGAAAAGACCCUAUCGAGCUUUACUGAAAACUUGUAUACCAAUAUCCUUAACUAUAACAAAGGUUCUAAAACUGCAAGGUCGACAGUUUGGUUGGGGCGACCACCCCUAAAAAUGUAUCAGGGGAACUCUAAAGGCUAUUAUAAUAUGAAAAAUUGCCUUACUGAAGACAAACAAGUCAACCAGUUACAAUAAGUAGGACAUACUGACCCGUUAUUUUACUCAUACUAAAUAACGACUAUGAAAAAAGUUACCGUAGGGAUAACAGGGUAAUAUUUUCAGAGAGUUCAUAUCGAUGAAAAUGUUUGCCACCUCGAUGUUGAAUUAUGAUGUCCUAAGGGUGCAGCAGCUCUCGAGGGUUGGUCUGUUCGACCAUUAAAAU